AUCUUCUUGGUUCCGUGCAGGUGAAAAGAUUCCGUCUCUGUCACUUUCUACAUCUUCAGAAUCGCUAGCCACCGAACUGGGUGACCAGUCUUCGCACAGCGUUCCCAGCUGCACACCUGGCCAUUCUGUUCGUUCAAUUUUGAAGUUGUACAACGUCCCGUGUGUUAGUUGCUUCCGUGACAAUGAAACGAAAAGAACAAACAAAACAGAAAAAAACAAUUGAAAACAUACCUCGCUUAAAAGAUGAAGCGCCGUAGUCUGAAAAUUGACCGCUAGAUGGCGCAAGCGACGAUUCUGGACAUUUGCCACCAACGAUGCCGUCGUCGUUGGUCUCGUCGGAUGCCUCCUCUUUGAGCUCUUCUAAGGAGGAGAGGUGGUUUCCCCAGGGUCAUUGUUGGAUAAUAGCAAAACCAAUCUCUGCAUUGUAGAAAAUCGGGAAAUUAAGAAACGUCAACUUUCCUUGUAUGCCAGUAAAGGCUUAUAUUGCGUCCCGCCCGUCUAUCUGAGGAAUCUUAUCCUGGCCGUGGGCAACAAGCUGCAAUGGAGUGAAUCAGUUUUGCCAGUGUUCCUUCCUUAUCUUUCAAGUAUGCCUUUCACUAGUUCUUGAUUAUGUUUAAAUUAUUAGUCGUCUUCGUUAAAUGUUCUUCUUCCAAUUGAAAACAUUUGGCGAAAAUAAACAAGUCAUACUGGUUA